rnacentral:rRNA from 1 species
UACGGAGGGUGCAAGCGUUAAUCGGAAUUACUGGGCGUAAAGCGUGCGCAGGCGGUUUGUUAAGUCUGCUGUGAAAUCCCCGAGCUCAACUUGGGAAUUGCAGUGGAUACUGGCAGGCUGGAGUAUGGUAGAGGAAGGUGGAAUUCCCGGUGUAGCAGUGAAAUGCGUAGAGAUCGGGAGGAACACCAGUGGCGAAGGCGACACACUGGGCCAUUACUGACGCUGAGGCGCGAAAGCGUGGGGAGCAAACAGG